rnacentral:rRNA from 1 species
AAACCANCAGGGAUUGCCUUAGUAGCGGCGAGUGAAGCGGCAAAAGCUCAAAUUUGAAAUCUGGCACCUUCGGUGUCCGAGUUGUAAUUUGAAGAUUGUAACCUUGGGGUUGGCUCUUGUCUAUGUUUCUUGGAACAGGACGUCACAGAGGGUGAGAAUCCCGUGCGAUGAGAUGCCCAAUCCUAUGUAAGGUGCUUUCGAAGAGUCGAGUUGUUUGGGAAUGCAGCUCUAAGUGGGUGGUAAAUUCCAUCUAAAGCUAAAUAUUGGCGAGAGACCGAUAGCGAACAAGUACAGUGAUGGAAAGAUGAAAAGAACUUUGAAAAGAGAGUGAAAAAGUACGUGAAAUUGUUGAAAGGGAAGGGUUUGAGAUCAGACUCGAUAUUUUGUGAGCCUUGCCUUCGUGGCGGGGUGACCCGCAGCUUAUCGGGCCAGCAUCGGUUUGGGCGGUAGGAUAAUGGCGUAGGAAUGUGACUUUGCUUCGGUGAAGUGUUAUAGCCUGCGUUGAUGCUGCCUGCCUAGACCGAGGACUGCGAUUUUAUCAAGGAUGCUGGCAUAAUGAUCCCAAACCGC